rnacentral:rRNA from 1 species
UACGUAGGUGGCAAGCGUUGUCCGGAUUUACUGGGCGUAAAGGGCGUGCAGGCGGUUUGUUAAGUCUAGGGUGAAAGCUCCCGGCUCAACUGGGGAGGGUCACGCGAUACUGGUCGACUCGAAGGCAGGAGAGGGUAGUGGAAUUCCCGGUGUAGUGGUGAAAUGCGUAGAUAUCGGGAGGAACACCAGUGGCGAAGGCGACUACCUGGCCUGUUCUUGACGCUGAGGCGCGAAAGCUAGGGGAGCAAACGGG